UGGCUCAGAACGAACGCUGGCGGCAUGCCUAACACAUGCAAGUCGAACGAGACCUUCGGGUCUAGUGGCGCACGGGUGCGUAACGCGUGGGAACCUGCCCUUAGGUCCGGAAUAACUUCCCGAAAGGGAUGCUAAUACCGGAUAAUGUCUUCGGACCAAAGAUUUAUCGCCUUUGGAUGGGCCCGCGUAGGAUUAGCUUGUUGGUGGGGUAAUGGCCUACCAAGGCGACGAUCCUUAGCUGGUCUGAGAGGAUGAUCAGCCACACUGGGACUGAGACACGGCCCAGACUCCUACGGGAGGCAGCAGUGGGGAAUAUUGGACAAUGGGCGAAAGCCUGAUCCAGCAAUGCCGCGUGAGUGAUGAAGGCCUUAGGGUUGUAAAGCUCUUUUACCCGGGGAUGAUAAUGACAGUACCGGGGAGAAUAAGCUCGGGCUAACUCCGUGCCAGCAGCCGCAGUAAG
rnacentral:rRNA from 1 species